CUAAAAAUUUCAAGCCCUAACUCUCUCUGUCUUCUCUCUAAAUUUCCAGCUCUUUGAACCUUUCAAUCUUGAGUUGGAGGGUGCUCAGACGUUCAUCUCACCAAAGGCUUCCUUUUGAACCGAUCGCAUUUUCGAUUGGACCGGGUUUGGUUGAGUUCUCAUUUGGUGAGACACCGUAAAGGAGAGUUCUGUGAGCUUGGUAAUUCGACUCUGAGAUGUGGUUGAGGAAAUACCUCUGGAGCAAGAGCUGGAGGAGAAUGAUGUUGCUGCACAGUCUGCGUAGGAUUUAGAUAUCUAAACUCUUGGAU